GCUAGACCCUGAGUUUUCUAAACACUUGGUUAAAAAUACAGAAGCCUUCUUUCCUUCUCCGUGAGCUAGACCCCAAUUAAGCAAUUGCAGCUCCCAUUCUGGUUCUUCUCCCUCGAUCAGCAACAUCCUUUCCUUUUCCCAAUUAUGGUUCUUCUCUCCCCGAUCUAGGUUUUUUACACAGAAGAGUCUCAUCGAUCAACCUCUCCCCGAUUUAGGUCAAGAAGACACUGUUGGUGGAGUUCUUCGAUCCGAUUUUACAAAGUAUACUGUUGUUGCACGGAUUUCUGGUCAAGGAGAGGAGUGAAGGAGAAAUGGGUUCUGCACUCAGAUGAGUUUGCCAUGAGAUCCACCAACCAAUCGUUCCUUGAAAGUGGCCUCUAUAAAACCCAACAAAAGGGAAAGAUUUGGGUUUUGAUUUGAUUGGGUUUAUGUUACGUUUCUGUUAAUUUGAUAGGGUUUUCAUAUAUUAUGUGAACUUUCACAGGUUUUAGUCUAAUUUUGGCUUUAUAAAUCAUCUAAAUGUUUUCGAUGUCAGGAUGCUGGUUUUGUACCAAAUGGAAUUGGGAGCAAAGGAAUCAACCUGUGUGAAUUUUAAUCCCAGCAGCAAGGAGUAUACGUGGAGUAGCAAUAAGAUCUCAGUCAUGUGAAGCCUCUUUCCUCCAUAAACCCUUUGUUUUGGGAUGUAAUUUUAAUUGAUCUGCAUGUUUCCAUUUGUCAGUUCUGCCUGUCAAAGAUUCGAAUCCUCGUCUUUGUUGAGAUUGCAUCUUUUUGGAACUCAGAACUGAUUUUGGACAUUCCUCCACCGCCAAGCUUCGUGGCUAUCACAGUUGUUGGUGUCAAACCCAGAACCGGUUCAUUUAGCACCUGGAAGCAAAUUUAAUUUUCAAAAAUAUAUCAAAAGAUCAUUAGAAGAUGACUUUAAGGUGGUUGUGGGAAUCAUGUGCUAUUGCCAACCUUUUGUUUCUUCAUGUUCUGGACUACGAUGACGCUCUAUUUGCUACUCAAUAUGGUUUCAACAAUGAAGAAGUCGAUCUUUGAUGAACAAACUAACAAGGCCUUAAGGAAAUUGCAAAAGAAUGCUCAAAAGAAGAGAAGGCAUCAUGAUGUGGUUCGAGAUGAAUGGGCAAAUCAUGUUAUACAGUUCUAACUUUGGUUCUGUUUAAGGUAGAUUAGUAGCACUUGGAACUACUUUUGUGCAUUUAUAUAUAACUGAUGGAAAGUGUUGAUGAACUUAAAUUAUGCAUGCAGUUGCUCUGUCUAGCUAUACUCUUUCUUUACCUUAUAGGUUUUUGACUUGGUGCACUAGGUAAAUGAUCGAGAUAAGAUGGUUUUUUGGUUCUCUCGAUCAUAAUGUAACUGUUAGCUAGGUUUAGAGUUGGAACUAUGGAUUGUAUUUUGGAUGAUGUUGAUGCAAUUAAUGAAACGAGCC